GGAGUCUCCAAACCCAGCAGAUUCCUGCCUCCAGAGAAGGAAGGACUUCCAGUAUAAUAAUGUUGAAUAGGGGGAGGAACAAGAUGGCAGAGGAGUAGGAGACCUAAAUUUCAUCUGGUCCCAGGAAUUCAGAUGAAGAUAGUGAGGUACAGAAAGGUUACAUAA